AGAGUUUGAUCCUGGCUCAGGACGAACGCUGGCGGCGUGCUUAACACAUGCAAGUCGAACGGAAAGGUCUCUUCGGAGAUACUCGAGUGGCGAACGGGUGAGUAACACGUGGGCGAUCUGCCCUGCACUUCGGGAUAAGCCUGGGAAACUGGGUCUAAUACCGGAUAGGACCACGGGAUUCAUGUUCUGUGGUGGAAAGCUUUUUGCGGUGCAGGAUGA
rnacentral:rRNA from 1 species